AGGUACUGAUGUACGAUGCUGAACUCCGAGCAUUACUGGAUUUGAGAAUCAUGUAGGUACUCAAUUGUGAACUAGGAAAGCGCUUUUAGGCACCUCGCAGAAAGAUAUGCAGAAUCAGAGAUGGAUGGCAUUGCAACAGCUCAAUGUUUUAAAAUUUAUGGGCAGUGACCACUCAUCAUAUAAAGAGUUUAUUGCUGGAAUUAUAUCUAAUUCGUUACCAACACAAAGCAAAAUGUUGUCAAAUCCGUGAUAAAACUGCAGACAGACGAUAUAUACGAGUAUCUGAUGAGUAAAUUCCCCUCCAUCUCCUUGAGAGGGUUGAAUUUUCUUAUUUCAAAACAACUUACAUGUGGAUGAUCUGACAUUAUUAUGAAUUCGAGGAUCCUCGUAUUGUGAAUUUUAUUGCAGCCAUAAAAAAUCAUUAUUGCUUGAUGGUGAAACACUCGUGAAGAAACGAGACGUGGUAGGAAGAAAUUUGGCAGUAAUCUGGUGCACUGUUCGUGAAGACAUGAGCCCAAUUCCGGAUUCAGCUAGCAAUAGCCCAGAAAAUUUGGAAUAAUGCAGAUAAAGUGGCUGAUGCCUGCAGAACAUUUCAAGAAAAUGACUUUCACGUAUGAAAAAUUUUCUAUCCGUUUAAACUUGCCGAAUCAAUGUUUUUUUCUCUUCUGAAGUGAUUCGCUUUUUUUAAUGGAAAAGCCCAUUUUUCAAAACAUUCAUUGCAGAAAAUCAUCCCAUUUUUAGAUUUGUAAAAAUUCGUGAAAAAUUGAAAAAUAAAUUUAGGCAGCUGAAACGACAAAUGCUUCGAAUCAGCUGACAUGAUGAAACCAGUUCUUGAUCGUUGGAGAAGGUGGGGGGGGGUAGAGUCUUUUUUCGGCACUUGAAAUUUCUCGUCAUAUUGCUCAACUGUGGGGUCGAAUUGCUCGGUAUGGGAUCGCUACCAUUUGGAGAAAACCUUCUUGCGACGGUUCGGAGGUACUUAAUUGAGAAAAGUUUCAAAAAUAUUUGCUAAAAAUUUCAAAAAUUCAAAGUUUAAUUUUUUCAAUGAAGGAGCGACGAGUACGAAAAAUAACGAACCGCUAAACUUUCGUCACUUAGGCUGAAUGGAUGGUAAUGAUGUUAAUAAGAUUGCAUACACGGUUUGCCGUAAAUAAGAGAAGCUUUUUUGCCAAGGAAAAAAAUUUGAAUUUGCAUAGUAAUAUUCGAAUAGAAAGUUGUUCUAGGGAGGUUUUUUGAAACGGCAAAUUAACAGAAAAAAAUGAGCGAAAAAUUGUUUUUAAAAAAAUGCAUCUUUUGUGAACUUUUCUGGCUGAUUUGAGGUCGCUAAGAACAAAAAUGACGUUCAAAUUGAGCGUUGGUAGUUGGAAUGUAGUUUUUGCGAGAUUUGUAUUCGUUAACCUCAAAUUAGAGCCCAUCAUUUCCGAAAUGAUUUUAAAAGCCUGAGGGACGAACUGUGAGUCAAAGUGAUACUCUAGUGUUGAUCUACCUAUGUAAUUCAAGAAAUUGAAAGCAUUUUUUUCAUCAAAUUUCAGGAUUUACCUGGGUAUUUAAGGGUUUUUUUUUCUGAAUGGGUAUCGAAUUUCAAAAUAAAAUUUUCUCGAAGUAGAAAUCCUUAGCGGUAUUUGACCGGUUUCACGCAAAGUUCAUCAAGAUGUGAAACUUUUUCCUCAUAAAAAAUUGUUUAAUAUUUGUAGUCGUACCUUUGGCAGUUUCUGUUGCAUUAUGAAUCAAAGAUUCAUUUCAAAUAACUGAAUUUUGUCAGUUUGAAAUCGAUUCUCAUAAUCAAUUUACCUACUUGAAACUUGAAAAUUAGUUUACGAUAAAACUUUUAAACUAGGUACCUUACGAUUAUUAAUUGAUAUUAUGAUUUUAGACUUGAAAAACGAAAAAUCUAGUUCGGCUAUUAGGUAAAUCGAGCAUAAAAAAUGCUAUUUAAUCGUAUUUUCGAACUACUUUUAAUACAUACGUCGUUGUUCAUUGUCAAUUUUCGAUCAUGGUAAAAAUUCUUACUGAUGAAAUCAAAACGAAAAUAAUUCCCUUACCUCGAACAAUUCGAUUUAUUACAUUAUUUAUUGCAUAGCUUGCGUACAUAACAUUUCAGUAAGUACAAAAAGUUCAAAACGAAUAAGAAAAUUAUUUACUAAAAAUACACAUAGACGACGAUACGUUUCUUCUACUAUUUUUUCAUACAUUUCGUUCGCUGGAAAAAAUCAAGUUUAGUGGCAGCUGAAUAUUAUUAAUUUGAUUAAACAUUACACGGUAUAAAAUAAUUCACUCAAUCAAUGAACAAUACUUAGGUAAUAGAAAUAAAUUACUUCGAAUUUUUUAAUAAAAAAAAAUUGAAAACUUAUUUAAAAAUUCCAACAGUUUCCAUUGAAUUUUUUCAAAAAUCCAAAAUUUUAAGUACACAACAGUGUAAACUUGAAAAGUUAUCCCAGUUUCAUUUUUCCCCUAUAACAGUUAAGAAGCAAAAUUUUUUAAAUCAUAAACUACCAACGAGAGUUGUGGUAUAGGUUUGGAAAAAUGAGAAAAUUAUGCGGGGAAAUCUUACAGGAAGGAUUGGCCUUUUUCUAGGAGUGAUAUAACUUAGGAAUAGAACACGAGAAAAGGAAAUAGGAAUAGAGACGGGAUGGGCUCCGAGGUAAGUAAAGGGAUGGGGUAACCUAGUAGGUAUACCACAACUAUUAGAUCUUCAAAAAUUACUUUUAUUCUAAUGAAAUCCAAAAACUAAAUUUCAAGUACAUACUAUUUUACAGUGUCCAAAAUGGUCGCAAUUUUUUUUACCACAAAAGGGAGUAGGUAAUAUCUUGCAGUAAUAUUUCUGGACCGUGAAAUACGCCGAAAGUAAUCAAAUAAAAUCAGUUUUAAAAUUCUCGUCGAUACUAUUCGCCAUUGUAUGCGCACAACUUGCAACACGAAAUAAAUAAUUCGCAAUUUCUAUGAAAUGACAAUGAACUAUAUACCUACGUAACCGAAACUUAACAGUACAAAACCGUUAUUCGACCUACUAAACUAAAAUUACAACUUACCUAUCUAACAAUUCGAUGUUUUGAUAAAUGAAAUUAAUUUUCGUGGGCUAGGUAAAUACACGUAGCUUGAAUGACAGUAAAGUCAACAAAGAUGAGACGUAUCUCCAGUAUAGCAUGAACCUUUUAGAUGAUAAAAAAUAAAUAAAAAGGAGACAAAAUAAUUAAAGAGAGAAAAAUAGAAACUGACAUCUAAUUAGACAUAAUUAUAUAAAUAGUAGGUAUUACAAGUUCAUUACACUGAUCAUAUUGAUUAUUCUCUAUUAAAUUCAUAGGUACCUACUACCUAAUCGUAUAUUGUUCAUUAUUAACUUUCGGUCAUGGUAGACAUUUUUACUGAUGAAAUAAAAACGAAAAUAAUUCCCUUAGCCUAUUCACUGGAAAAAAGAAAAAUUCAAGUUGUAUUUUGUGCUAAACAUUAUCAGUAAGGAACAUUAUACGUUAUAAAAUAAUUCGCUUACCUAAUCAAUAAGCAAUUAAUAAAAAUAAAUUGCAUCGCAAAUAAAAAAAAUUGAAAACUUAUUUAAACAUUGCAACAGUUUCCAUUAAAUUUUUUCAAAAUUCCAGAAUUUUAAAUACAUAAUGGUGUUUAACUUCAAUCUUAAUUAAGUCAUUAUAAUGUUCACGAAUAUCACAAUUCAAAAAAUAUUGCAAAAAUUAUCUACCCUUUUAAAAAACAAAAAACAUGAAUUAAACGAGAAGGCAUCGUCUAAAAACACGUUUGUAUGAUAACAAAACAGCCCGAAUCCUUGCUGAAUUAUGGUCACAAAAUUUUCUAAAAAAACUAUUGUUAUUGUUGCCAUAUCUGUCUAAUCUGUAACUGGCAUCCAAUUUAAUGGUAAUAUGCAGUUAAAUUCCCUUGCAAGUUAGCAGCAAACAGUCUCCAGCUUUCUACAAGUUUCUUAAAUUCUGCAAUUCUCUCGAUUUCCCACUCAAAUACUGAAAGAAUUUGCAACCUUGUAUUUUUCUUAGGGGUAGUUAGGUGCAUCUGAAAGUAUCAUAAUUCCGAUUAUCAGACAGAUAAAAUCGGAGUUGGGAUUAGCGAAUGGUUAUAAGAUGCAUUGUCUUCUUUCUUCUCAAGUAUAUGCUCAGAGUGUGUGGUUAAAUCAAGCAGGGUUCACUCUCAUUAUACAUACUUAGGUAUUUUGUCCUACAACUAAUUCUUACAAAUAGGUAUAAAUGUAAGUACAUUUAACAUACAUGAACUUUCAAUAAAUCUGAUCAUCUCGUAUAAUGACGAGAGAGAAAAAAUUUACCGAUGAAGGUUUCAAAAGUUGAAAUUUUGCGUUGUUUGUGUGAAUUUAAUGCUCCCUUACUUAAACAUACGGUACCUACAACUGAAAACUGUGCGAGUAAAGAUUCUUCACACAACAGAAAUAAACGAAAAGAUGAGACAUUAUAAGAAAUAAGAAAACCACUCAGCGUGGCUGUCAUAAAACGAAUAUAAUUUUAUAAGAAAUGAUCGAAAUCGAUAGUAAAUAACUAUCGAUAUUGAUGAGACAAUGGCAUAGGGGGACGACUACUGGUAGAAUGAAUUAAGAAAAAGGAAACCUCGUAACUUGACCACAUUUUGUAUUUCAAUUUCUACCAUCUAAAUUUUAAUUCUCUAUUUAUAAAACAUAUUUGAGAAUACAUAAGUACAUGGAAAAAUCAAAGCAUUGUCAAAAGUUGAAGCAACAUCUUCGGACAAAAUUGUAACUACAUAGGUACCUACAUCAAAAAUUAUAAUUAAAUUAUUUCAAAACCUAGGUACUUAAAAAUAUUCAAACAUACUUGAAUCUCAAACAUCUGAAUUUUAAUUUUCGAGUUCUUGAUUGAACUGCAUAUUCCAAGUAAUCAAAACAAAAUUGUAAGAUUCAUAUAAUUAAAUCAAAUCAUAUUCUUAAUUCUAAAGGGGUUUAUUCAACCAUACCUUAAAUUGAAUUCUAAUUGUAAGGGGAAAAACAUUUCAUUUCAGCAUGUUAAAGGGAAACUUAAUAAUCCUGGCUCACUAACCUUGAAAGGUGUGAUUCCACCCCUAUACCCAGCACCAUCUGUGCUUGUGGCUUAAGUGAGCAUCUCGCAGAUCAAUCAACUCUUGAUAAAUCUUAAAAUUUGUAACUCAAUAAAUCUUAAAUAUACAAAUUCAAAUCAUUCUUCUUCAGCAUCACAAAAUGUAAUACAAAAAUAGAAUUUAUUACUUCGCAAUAAAAAUCAAAUUGUAACUUCAACAGUCAUAACUUGCAAAAAAUGAGUAAGAAUACACCAUUACAUAUUGGAGGAUAGAAAACUACCUACUUAGUUAGCAUUACUGAGAUCUUGAUGUAUUCUUCUCAGUUCUAUGGGAAUGUCAUCUUAAGUUACCACCAUUUUUCUAAUUCUGGUGGGAAAUGCAAAUGUGAUAGUACAUUGUAAUAUAAUAUUACAGAUAGACUAUGCUGGGGUGGAUAGAGUUAACUUAUCCACUUGGGGGGUGAAGUCAGGAAAUACCACUUAGACAGUAUAUUUUAACCACUACGUGGACUUACCUGUUAUGCUCGGAUUAGCUCAGGAUGCACAGUAUAAAUGUAAUAAAAUAUUGCAUAAAUGACGUUAAUAAACACGGUUUGGUUACUCAAGAGGUAUUUAUUAACGGUAAUUAACACAAAAACUCCCUUAAAGGGUAUAUUUACACGAAUUACUCUCACGAUGGGGUACUUUAAAUAUUAACCGAACUCCCUCGAUGGGGUAUAUUAACAACACUCCCGCGAACGGGUAAAUUAACUCAUUUAAGAUAAAGACGAAUGGUAAUUAAACCGUAAGCGGAUGGCGAGCUGUCCUUUGUCCUCUUGAUCAGGGAGAACGAGCUCGGAGAGGCACGUUGGUGCCUCUCCUAGCUAUAAGAACGAACUGGCAAUGUUCCCUGUCGCGUAGCUCGGAUGGAGCUCCGCUUAUGAGGACGGACGCAGUGUUACCACGAGUAGUAGACCCUAAUUGUACGUUGACACCAGGUUGGCCAUAUGCACUAUCACAACAUAAAUAAAUCAAAGCAUUGCUAAGAGUUGAGACAACAUAUUGGGUCAAAAUUAGGUGCAUUAUGUCAUUCCAACAAUGACAUUAUUACGUGAAAACAUAGACGCCGCAACGGGGGGAGGGCCGGGGGCAAUGGCCUCCCAAACUCAAAAUUAGCCCCCUCCAUCCCAAGCAGAAUUCAUAUUUAUGUUAAAAAAAACAGACUUUUUAAAAAAACAUAAUCGUCAUCACAUGCUUAGAAAAAAUGAAAAUUUCGAAAAGUCGAAGUCUGGGUUUUUUAGGAAAAUGCAAAUCAGUUCAAUAUUUUGAGUGACUUCUAAAAAUGACUUUUUCAAGGAAAACAUCAGCAGUGAUGAAAUUUUGACCAUACUAAAAAAAAAUCAUCGUAUACCUCUUGAAAGAAUGGACUGAUUUUUGAAAGCUUUGCCCUUGUUUUCGCUCGGGCCGUUUGCUUUUCUAUUUUCCUUCUUACAUUUAAAAAAAAAUCAUCAUUCAAAUUCCAUUGUUUCAUGCUUCUUGCUUCUCGAAAUACAUGUACUAAUUUUCAAGAACGUUUGGGCUAAUUUUUUUCGCUUUUGAAAUUAAAAAAAAAAAAAUCAUCAUUUGAAUUUCAAAAUUUUGAAGCGAAAUGUAAAUGUUAAACUUUUUAGAAGUAACUCAUCAUUGUGCAGCUCCAAAAUUUCCUUUGGAUGAGCUCUGGUUUUUAAAAUUUUCAUUUUUUUUCUAUUUUCAAGUUUUUAUUUGCACCAAAAAUGAAUAUAUGUAUAUGCUGCUGGUAAUUUGCCUUUAUAGCUUGACCCCCCCCCCCCCAUCACCCAGAAAUUUAAACUCAGCGGCGCCUAUGUGAUUAUUCAACCAUAUACCAAAUUUAAUUCUCCAACCAUAUACCUACUAAAUUUAAUUGUAAGGGGGAAAACUUUGUAACAUAACCACAUACUAUUUGUACGAGUAUUUCAUCAAAACAAGACUGUAAGAAGUGAGAUUCACAAUUGAAUCAAAUCAUAAUUAAUUCUAAUGAGGUUUAUUCAACCAUAGGGUAUACUAAAUUUAAUCCUAAGGGGAAAAACUAACUACUUACACCUUAGCAUGUCAAAGGGAAACAAUCAAUUUAACUGACGGUGAAAAAUAGGCUACAUUUUAUGCCCUACAAUCGUCGCGAAACUUUCCCUUUCAUGGGUCAAUAGAUACACAUGAAAGUUCAAAGUUCGGUGUGCGCCAGUACUUGGCUUUUAAAUUGGAGUAGAAUGGAAUUUUGAGUGAAUAGGUACAUGGGUGUUUGAGGAUGAAAAAAUUAUUUGCAAUUCAUCCUCUACAAUUUGAGCUUUUAUUCGACUCUGUAGGUUUUACUGGCCAAAAGUUAUGAAAGUUUUAGUGUUUCAGCUUCUACAACUUUUUGAACUUUUGACCAGGUGAAGCUAUGGAGUCGAACAAAAGCUCAAAUUGUAGGGGAUGAAUUGUAGAUCACUUUUCUAUUCUCAAACAGCCUUCUACUCGCUCAAAAUUGCAUUCUAUUCCUAUUUAAAGAUCGAGAAGGUACACAUAACACUGAUAUUAAGACAUGUGUUAAAUCCCACCCUACACCAUGUUGCCACAUAACCUGUGCUGAGGCCUUCUGUUGAGGUGGUGUUUAACUUGAUUCUGGCUCGCAAACCUUCAAGGGUGUAACUCCAUGUCACCCUGAUACCAGCAUCCUCAGUGCUUGUGGCUUAAUAAGCAAGCAUCUAGUAGAUCAAUAAACUCUUGAUAAAUUUUGAAAUUUGUAACUUAAUGAAUCUCAAACACACAAAUUCAAAUCAUAGUCUUUAAUACUUCUUCAUGCAUCACAAAUCGUGAUACAAAAAUAAAAUUCAUUACUUCACAUUAAAAAUCAAAUUGGAACUUCAAAAGUCGUAACUUACGAAAAAUUUGGAAGAACACAACAUUACAUACCUACCUAAGGAUAGAAAACGAGUUAGAAUUGCUGAGAUCUUGAUAUUUUAUUUUUAGCCUCCUAUAAUGUUAUAUCGAGUUACCCCAUUUUUUUCAUUCUGGUGGUAAAUUCAAAUAUGAUAACAAAACAAUAAUGGUUUACCUGACUAUGUUAUAUUUACACAAGUAUCUUUAUUCUGGUUGUGUCCUUUUUUUUUAGUAUGUUAUGAACAAACACCUUCACAAAGCAAAGAAAUUCUCACACUAGUUCUUAAGCACCAUUAAAAUGAAAAUCAUAAAACAAAACCUAGGUAUGCUUGAGAAUAGAAAGAUUUGAAAAUUUUAAUUGAAUUAUUAAGUAUAUCAUACUUAAUUUACCCAAUAGUAUGACACAAUUAUUUGAUACGUACUUACUUACAUUAAAAUUGUAAAUUGACCCUUUAAUUUGAAAAUAGAUACCUACACAUAUUGGCUCUGAUCAUCUCAACGGGCCCAUUAAUCACUGACCUUUUGGGUUUUAAAACCACCUUUAUCCUCAUUAAGGUGUUCAAUUUAAUUUUCAAAACGAAUGGCUUCUUUGAUAAUUUUCUCCACCUUACCCUAAACAAUUUCAAUCACUUUAUUCCCACGUUAAAAAAAUUGUUGUUGAUUGUAGAAUGCACAAUACUUUUCUAGCCUUUAAUUGGGGCCAACUCUUGAAAAUAUGAAACCAUUUGCAAUGAGGUACUGAAAUGAAUUCAUAACCAAGAUUAACAAGUUCAACUUACCAUUUCAACUUUCUGGUUAAAAUCUUACUUUUAUCUCGAGAACUAAAUACCUACUUUGAGUUUAUCAAAAAAUUAAAUUGUGCAUACCUAUAAAUACGAACGUUUUGUUAGUCUCAAAUCUUUUCUAAAUGAGAAAUGCAAACUCCAAAAAAAAAUUGGCAUGGGCUGUCCUGAUUGGAUCAUAUAGAACAUAGACAGCCAACAAUACUUUGGACAAAAAAUCUUAUGUGUAAGCCUAGUAUAACUAUGUAUUAUUGUAUUCAAAACAAACGAAUCGCGUCAAAUCAAAUUAAAAAAUGAAAAUUUAAAGAAAUGAAAAAUGAAUCUGCAAAUGCUCAAUAGUUUGUAUGACCCCCUGCAAACAAAAAUAACCCUUUGAGUUGAGUAGGUACACUACCUAGAUCUUGUAAAAACGCGAAUGUUAUGCAAAAAGAAUAGACAGUUUCUAUGCAGAGUAAUUAUAUUGAUUUGCUAAAGAUUUUUACACAUUCUUCAUUUAGUUAGGACCAAGAAAGGUAAUAAGAAUAGAAAUUAAGGAACUAAAGAAUACAUACCUAGGUAAUAAAUGAAGAAAAAUGGAAUAGAAAUUAUUAAUUAAUACCUAUACUUACUAAUGGAUUUCAUAGAAUAGACCAAUGUAAAAUAUCUAUGUACUUAUGUGAUAAGCAUUGAAUUUGAAAUGUGUCAUUUUCUCACGAUAAUUUAAAAUACACCGUUAAUCUCACCCAACAAUUUACCUUUCAAACCGCCAUCAUCAUAAACGUCGUAGUUUGCCGCGCCUUUAGGAGUUUGACCUCUGCCAAUGCUAAAUCCAUAAUGACCCGUAAUAGUUUUUGGGGUGCAGAUGAGUACACUUGUAGAUGCGCUUUCGCCUGGAACUAACACAAGAUCUAUCUUUUGACAUUUUGGAAAACCUGCAGCGAACUGUAUAGGGGAAGUAGAAAAACCAUUGUGUAUAGCAGCGCUGUUGCAGAAUUUUUUUAAAUCAUCGGGUUUAGCGCAGUUGUCUGUGGAAGCUGGAUCAGUUUCUCUGAAACAGAAUUGGCACUGCCUAUGAAGAAUGGUUCAAAAUGUGUAUUUAUAUGUACUUAGAUAGGUAUUGCAAAAGAUUUUCUUUGCCAGUGUAAUCGCAAACACACAUUAUUUUUUUAACCUUUAAUUAUUUCUAUUAACAAUAUCUUAAUAAAAAUAAAACUUUUGAAAUUUCGUU